rnacentral:lncRNA from 1 species
UGGAAGCUGAGCUGCGUGCAGCCGGGGAGCGAGACCUUGAGAGGUCAUGAAGUUGGUCAUUUAGGCCGACAGCUAAAGAACUGUUCUGCUCAGCUGUUUCAUCCAUUCGACACUAGAUCGUGCAGUGGGCUGGAAGAGAAUUAGAAAACGAGUAACAGGAGGCUUCGAGAGGAUACAGAAAGGAACAGUGACACUACAAGGUGAUAAAGUACCUGAUCCAAAUGUUAUGAGAAUACUGGACGAGAAUUGAACGAAAUUGAAAGAAGCCCAAGGAAAAAUUUCACAAUAUCUGUCUGUAACACUUUCCAGUAAUAAAACACUGUUGCUUUUCAAAAAUUC